GCCUUCUUAGCUCAAUUGGUAGAGCGUAAGACUGAAGAUCUUAAGGUCGCGUGAUCGAUACACGCAGAAGGCA